AUAUAGGUUGAAGUAUAAAUUCAUUUUUAUUUACGUUCUUUAUAUAAUUGUUAUAAUUAUGAUAAUAGAAGAAGAAAUUUUUAAGUUGUUAGGUUACAACUAAGAUGUAAAUUAAAUUUUGGCUAAGUGCUGUGCCAGCCGCCGCGGUUAAACGGCUUAAUGUAAAAUGAAUUGAUUUUAUGAUAUUAAAAAAUUAUUUUUUUAGGUAUUUUUAAUUAAACGGUGAAAUGUAAUUAAAUUUGUUAUAUAGUUUAUUUAAAAGAAUUUUUGGUUAUAAACUAGGAUUAGAUACCCUAUUAUUUAAGAUGAUUAUUUGUGAUUAAUAAGAUUAUAAAAAGCAAAUUAUUAUGGCGGUAUUUUAAGCUUUUUAGAGGAAUUUGUUUUAUUUAAAAGAAAUAACACUAAAAAUUUUACUUAAUUUUGUUAAGUCAAUUUGUAUACCACUAUAAAAAUUAUUUUUAAUUAAUUAUAAUUUAUUUAUAAUUUAAUAAUAGUAAAAAAUAAUAUGUAAUUUUAGGUCUAGGUGCAAUAUAAAAUUAAGGUUAAAAUGAAUUAUUUUGAUUAAAUUGGGGAUGAAAAGAUAAUUGUAAUAAUUUUUAUAAAUUAAGGAUUUAAUAGUAAAUGUAAGAUAGCAUAUUAUGUUGAAUGAAGCUCUAAAAUAUGUACAUAUUGCCCGUCACUCUCUAUUGGAGAUAAGUCGUAACAAAGUUAAAGUACUGGAAAGUGUUUUA
rnacentral:rRNA from 1 species